rnacentral:rRNA from 1 species
UACAGAGGGUGCAAGCGUUAAUCGGAAUUACUGGGCGUAAAGCGUGCGUAGACGGUUAUGUAAGUCAGGUGUGAAAGCCCCGGGCUCAACCUGGGAAUUGCAUUCGAGACUGAAUAGCUAGGGUACGGUAGAGGGAAGUGGAAUUUCCGGUGUAGCGGUGAAAUGCGUAGAUAUCGGAAGGAACAUCAGUGGCGAAAGCGACUUCCUGGACCAGUACCGACGUUCAGGCACGAAAGCGUGGGGAGCAAACAGG